rnacentral:misc_RNA from 1 species
AACGCACCUUGCGCUUCUCGGUAUUCCGAGAAGCAUGCCUGUUUGAGGGUCGUGAGGGAAGGGGGCCUAAGUAGCCCGGACAACUGCCAUCGGGCCGCGAUCACCGUGACCGGAGGUGAAGUUGGAUGUGGAGGGUGCAUCUUGCUGUUGCUGGCUUUCAUUGUCGGCUCCUCUUGAAUCAAUGGAGCCUCGCCCAUGGCGGAGUAACGUCGACGUGAUACCUAUCUACGUUGUCGUGAAAAGCCCGUUUGCGAGCGAGGUUUAACGUGACCAGGAAGAGAGAGGUCCUCUCGAGGCAUCUCAUUCCGCCAAGUCGUAGAUCGACCUCAAAUCAGGCAGGACCACCCGCUGAACUUAA